rnacentral:tRNA from 1 species
AGGGUUAUAGUUAAUAAUAACAUUUAAUUUGCAUUUAAAAAGUAUUGAAAUCUCAAUUAACCUUU